AGAGUUUGAUCCUGGCUCAGGACAAACGCUGGCGGCGUGCGUAACACAUGCAAGUCGGACGAGGGGGCGGUUCUUUUCGGAGAGCGGUCUUUCGAGUGGCGGACGGGUGAGUAACACGUGGAUAACCUACCCUGGUGUGGGGGAUACCCUGUAGAAAUACGGGCUAAUACCGCAUGCGGUAGAUCGGGGUUCGCCCGGAUCUAAGAAAGCCUUCGGGCGCAGCAGGAGGGGUCCGCGGCCGAUUAGCUAGUUGGGGGGGUAAAGGCUUCCCAAGGCGACGAUCGGUAGCUGGUCUGAGAGGAUGAUCAGCCACACUGGGAUUGAGAACGGCCCAGACUCCUACGGGGGGCAGCAGUGAGGAAUCUUCGUCAAUGGGCGCAAGCCUGAACGAGCAACGCCGCGUGUGGGAAGACGGCCCUCGGGUUGUAAACCACUUUUCUCUGGAACGAGUUUUGGACGGUACCAGAGGAAGAAGUCUCGGCUAACUACGUGCCAGCAGCCGCGGUAAUACGUAGGAGACGAGCGUUGUCCGGAGUUACUGGGCGUAAAGGGUGCGCAGGCGGUUCGUUUUGUGGGUGGUGAAAUCUCCUGGCUCAACUGGGAGGGGGCCAUCCAAACGGGCGAACUUGAGGCGUGGAGAGGGACGUGGAAUUCCGGGUGGAGCAGUGAAAUGCG
rnacentral:rRNA from 1 species